rnacentral:rRNA from 1 species
CAGGUAGGUGGCUAGAUAAGUCUGUUGUGUAAGCUCCUGGCUUAACUGGGAGAGGUCAACGGAAACUAUCAAGCUUGAGUAUAGGAGAGGGUACUGGAAUUCCCGGUGUAGCGGUGAAAUGCGCAGAGAUCGGGAGGAACACCAAUGGCGAAAGCAGGUACCUGGACUAUUACUGACACUCAGCUGCGAAAGCUAGGGGAGCAAACAGGAUUAGAUACCCUGGUAGUCCUAGCUGUAAACGAUGCACAUUAGACGUGAGGGGUAUCGACCCCCUUCGUGUCGACGCAAACGCAUUAAAUGUGCCGCCUGGGGAGUACGGCCGCAAGGUUGAA